CCCCACCCAACCAUAGACCCAAAACACUACUUUGUAAGGGCCAUCUAAUCUCCUUUUAAAGAACCUUCUGCUAAGCCUGAAUGGAUUAAGUGCCUUAAGUCUUGUCUCCUUAGUUUGCAUGUCAUACCAUGAACCAGUUUUGUUGCCCUUCUUUGUACUUUUCAAGAACUGUAAUGUUGGGCUGCAACAACGAAUCAAUGAAAUCGAUAAAAUUCUAUUAUAAAAAAUAGUUGGCAACAAAUUUCAUUAUCGAUUUGUUGGGCCGAUGUUGCACGCUGUGCCGCGAAGCUGGUUACGUCACUUCAAGAAAGAAAAAACAUUUGAAACAUGGCAGAGGCAGAGAAAACUGUUUGACCAAAAUCAUCUGUAUAUAUGGGAGCACAUUAAAUUUGAGUAAAAAGUGUGCAAACUGUACAACCGAUCUUGCAUGGCACGGGAGCACCACGGUAAUCAGAGAACACCUGAAACAAAAACAUGUUGGAGCCAUGGAUGAAGGGGACUCAACAGCAGGAAAUAAACAACUCUCCAUGAGUGGCUACUUGAUGGAGAAUAAAGUGCCAUGCACACCACAGCAAGCGGCUGUUUUGACAGAUA